rnacentral:rRNA from 1 species
GCCUACGGGGGCAGCAGUAGGGAAUUUUCGUCAAUGGGCGCAAGCCUGAACGAGCAAUGCCGCGUGAACGAGGAAGGUCUUCGGAUCGUAAAGUUCUGUUGCAGGGGAAAAAGAGCGGAGAGAGGAAAUGGUCUCCGAUUGAUAUUACCCUUCGAGGAAGUCACGGCUAACUACGUGCCAGCAGCCGCGGUAAUACGUAGGUGGCGAGCGUUAUCCGGAAUGAUUGGGCGUAAAGGGUGCGUAGGCGGCCUGCUAAGUCUGGAGUGAAAGGUACCGGCUCAACCGUUACAGGCUCUGGAAACUGG